CUGGCCACCCUCUCGUUGGGUUAUCGACAUGGGCUCACCAUGAAGGCCUCGGCCCAUAUCAUAACCAGAUGUGGAUGGACACCUACAACUACCCAGGAGGAGACGUAAGGAAUAGGCAUCCAAGUUGGAUCAGGCGAAACGGCGGCCGCUCCUUCCUCCGACCUCAGCUCUUCCUUCCCAUCCCCAUUCAUGCUGUUCAUCUUGUAUUCAGAUUGUCUACCAAAUUCCUGUAAUAGUUGCUAGAUUGAGGGAAUUAAGAUCGAGUAGCUGUUAACAUCUGACAAUCAUAAUGCCUGACUUGUGUUUCUUGAAGAUAGUAUGGACCAAAUCAACUCCCUUCAAUUUGCUGCGCAAGGGCGCAUCCUCGAGGAAGCGGGCAGCUGCUGCUCCAUCUGCGACACUCCCCUGGAACCUCCAGCUCACAUCAUGUUCGAGUGCAACUUCGCUCGCUGCUUCUGGUCCAUGCUCGGCCCGACGCCGGCCGACACCACUCGCCCCGUGUCCGCGGCAUCCACCUGCCCCCUCCCGCCUUCCGCCCCUCGCCGCACUGUGUCGAUGCUCUGAUUACUCUGCCUAUGGCACUUCUGGAAGCAUAGGAACAGGGUCGUCUUCAACGGUGAUCACUCAAAAAAAUUAACAUAGUUUCGAAGAGUCGUCAUCUUUUGUCAUACAAAAAUUUGCCAGGAAUAGUUGUAUGGAAUAUGUAAUUUAUGCUGAACUGUCGUGAAUUAUGCGACUAAAACUCUUGCCUUAUGGAUGCUGAUAACUGUUGGAUGUUGACUUUACAAAGUUAUGUUCAUCUAUUGCCAUAAAAAUUGAAUCUUUUGUAGUUUA